rnacentral:lncRNA from 1 species
UCACAACCAUCUGUAAUGGGAUCCAGUGCCCCUCUUCUCUUCGGAUUUGUCUGAACACAGCUACAGUGUAUUCACAUAUAUAAAAAUAAAUAAACAUUUAAAAAAUAAAAACAAACAAAACAAAACAAAAGUGAGUCUCCCUCCCACAAAGGCAACUGUCAGUAGCUCCACAGCUAAUGGUGGGACCUCACAGCUCCUUCCUGUCUCAGGCUAGAGUCUCUCAGUGGCUUGAUCUUGUGUUGGUAGUCACUGUUAUAAGUUUUGUGUUCAACAAACACGCCAUGUCCAGAGGACAGUGUUUCACAGCGUUCUUCCUCACCCCUGGCUCUCCUGUGGCAUUCCUGGGCUGUCUUUCUUUUCACCCAGGCAUGAUCAUGUAUACCUAAAGUCCCAGCGCUCAGGAGGCUGAGCUUGAAGGUCACAAGCAUAAGGACAACCUGAGCUACACAAUUAAAUGUUUGUCUUAAAAAGUAAUAAAAUUGCAAAUGCUAUUAGCAGUGUUAACAAAAGAUUAAAUGUCUAUUUUGUAACUUGUCCUAUUUUCACUCCACCUAAAGAAUGUCUGGUUUAUGGGUUUAUCAGUUAAGAGCACUGGCUCUUCUUUCAGAGGUCCUGAGUUCAAUUCCCAGCAUGGUAGCUCACAAUCCCAUAUAACUGUAAUCCCAUGGUAUCCGAUGUCCUCUUCUGGUGUGCAAAUGUACAUACAGACAAAAUAUCCAUAUAUAUAUAAAGCACAUAAAUAUUUUAAUAAGAAUGUCUGGCUCUUAAUGUCAAUAGACAUAAACUUAAGAGAGAGGGAACACAUUUAUAAUUGUGGUUUCUGGUAGAAUAGCUUUAUCAAAUUACUGGACUGUAGAAUUUAGGUAUUACUCUGGUAAAAGUGUAAAAAAUUUUUUUAUGGAAGAGCUGAAAUGGUGUUUACCUAACAUUUGCCUAAAAGAAACAAGAAAGCACACAGAAAACAGUGCAUGUCCUUAGGGUCAGUCCUCUGUUUUAUAUGUGUGCUCUUCUGAAAGUUCUUACUGGAGAAUUUCCAUGCACAUUUGUUUUCCAAAGAAAUCUGUGAACUUACAGUAUGUUCUUGGGUAGGUAUGGUUAGUACAAUAUGUUGGUUCCAUCAUGCCAGGGUAGGUUUUUAAAGGUUAUAUGAAUUACAUUUAGUAUUUGAGAUCUUAAUAGAUCUUAAUUCAUUCAGUCUUGGUCACUCAAGCUUGCAAUCCCAGCUGCUUAGGAAGCUGAGGCAGGAGGAUCAAAUGUAUUCUUAGCAACUUAGGAAGACACUAUCUCAGAAGAGGCUGUGUGGCUGCCUGUGGUAGCACAGUGCUUACCUAGGACACAAGGGGCCAGCAGUUGACUCCCUAGAGCUGUAAAACAAGCAAUAUAGCACUAGAAAAUCUGAAAGAUGGGGCUGGAGAGAUGACUUAGUGGUUAAAACUAAGUGUAAGUGGUUACACUCGUAACAUAAAAUAGAUUUUUAAAAAAAGAUUUUAAACCAUGAAAGUUGUUGAAGCCACAGUGAGCGUGAUCAGCAGCACUGUGGAUUUGCUGAACGCUGCAGAGCGCCUGGGGAUCAGCUGUAUAGACAGUGUAUAACAGGAACUAUCUGUCUUGCUUUUCUGUUCUCCCCUACCCACCUUGCAGGAGGCCCUUUUCAUCGCCCGAUUCAGUCCUCCAAGUUGUGGCGUACAAGUGAACAAGCUCUGGUAUAAGCCCGUGGAACAGUUCAUCUUACCAGAGGUAUGGCUGCAGGGAAGGCCAGUGUAGGCUCUAUAGUGUGGAAGCAGCAGUACCAACAAAGCCUGCCCUAAAUUUUCCAGUUACAGCAACAGAGUUUCACAGCCACACUUUUACAGAAGUAUUGCCUGUUGCCAUGGUUAACUUGAGAGCUCUGACUGUCUUAGUGACUACCAUAUUAGGUCUUAAUGGACAAUAGAUCAUUUGGGUAAGUUAGAUGUUUUACUUAUCUAAAGAAAUUAAACAAAAACAUGUUGGUUGUGAUAUUGCACACUUUUCAUCCCAGCACUCUGGAGGCUGGCAGAUCUUGUGAGUUAGAGGUCAGUCUGGUCUACAGAAAGAGUUCCAGGACAGCUAAAAC